rnacentral:rRNA from 1 species
GAUGAACGCUGGCGGCGUGCCUAAUACAUGCAAGUCGAGCGAACAGAUAUGGAGCUUGCUCCUUUGACGUUAGCGGCGGACGGGUGAGUAACACGUGGGUAACCUACCUAUAAGACUGGGAUAACUUCGGGAAACCGGAGCUAAUACCGGAUAACAUUUGGAACCGCAUGGUUCUAAAGUGAAAGAUGGUUUUGCUAUCACUUAUAGAUGGACCCGCGCCGUAUUAGCUAGUUGGUAAGGUAACGGCUUACCAAGGCAACGAUACGUAGCCGACCUGAGAGGGUGAUCGGCCACACUGGAACUGAGACACGGUCCAGACUCCUACGGGAGGCAGCAGUAGGGAAUCUUCCGCAAUGGGCGAAAGCCUGACGGAGCAACGCCGCGUGAGUGAUGAAGGGUUUCGGCUCGUAAAACUCUGUUAUUAGGGAAGAACAAACGUGUAAGUAACUGUGCACGUCUUGACGGUACCUAAUCAGAAAGCCACGGCUAACUACGUG